CUCAGCUUCGCUUGGAAAUCUGUCAUCCAAUCCAAGUUGAUUAUAUCAGUGCUCGAAAGCGUAUGAAAUCUCUUGAGAGUAUAAUGAUUAGUUUUCUGAUGAAAUACGUACGUGGAGCACGUAGAGUGUACGUAAUAUGGAACAGUAAAAUCAUCAUGAAAAUCAACAGUAAGUAAUACUGUUACUCGUGACACGGAAUUACACGUAUUAACACGUCAAAGAUUA